rnacentral:rRNA from 1 species
UACGUAGGGUGCGAGCGUUGUCCGGAUUUAUUGGGCGUAAAGAGCGUGUAGGCGGCCAUACAGGUCCGUUGUGAAAACUGGAGGCUUAACCUCCAGACGUCGAUGGAAACCGUAUGGCUAGAGUCCGGAAGAGGAGAGUGGAAUUCCUGGUGUAGCGGUGAAAUGCGCAGAUAUCAGGAAGAACACCCGUGGCGAAGGCGGCUCUCUGGGACGGUACUGACGCUGAGACGCGAAAGCGUGGGGAGCAAACAGG